GUUAUCCCGAAAAUUUUCGGAGAGGGACUUAGGGCUUUGCUAAGCUCCGUCGAACCACCCUUCGUACUCAUGAAGGUAACCACCGUUGGUGGUGGCCGAAAUGUUGCCCGAAGCCCGAUAUAACCCCCUUUCUUUCACAUAAAAUAGAUUUAGGGCCACCAAAAUCCCUAAACCAAUCGACUUCCGACCCUUGGCUUCUUCCGUUGGAAACUUAACCGAACCCCUAAGGAUCUGUUGGCUUCUAGACCAGAGAAGCGAUACUCGAAGAUAUCCACACCACAAAAAGGUACGGAGGUCAGUUAGCAUUGUGGUACAUGGCACUCGGCGUGGGGCGUAUGGAGGCGUGGUGGCUGUCGAAGCGCUGGAGCGGCGCAGACGAAGUAGAAGGCUAGGGUUUCUGUCUUGGUUUUUUUUUGUUUUUGGGCUAGGGUUAGUCUUUGGCCAGGGUAGUUGGGUUUAGAAUUGGAUUUUUGGGUAUUGGGCCAUUGAAUUGUUUUGGGUUGUUUUGUAAUAUCUGAGCUAAUGGACUUUUUAUUUAGUUGAUCUCGAUUUUUGGUUUUUUAGUCUAGGCCAAAAUUGGCCUAUUACAA